rnacentral:rRNA from 1 species
AUUGGAACCAUAACACCAUCCUAAAUGCAUUACUCUUGUCUGAUUUAUGAACCUAAGCAGCAUCAGGCCUGGUUAGUAUUUGGAUGGGAGACCAAUAGGAAAUGCUAUUUAUCUCCAAGU